CCGGGGACUCAUGGGAGACUGCCGGGGUCAACUCGGAAGGAAGGUGGGGAGUGACGUCAAAUCAUCAUGCCCCUUACUGUCUUGGGCUUCACGCAUGCUACAAUGGCCGGUACAAAGGGCUGCGAUACCGCGAGGUGGAGCGAAUCCCAAGAAAGCCGGUCUCAGUUCGGAUUGGGUCUGCAACUCGACCCCAUGAAGUCGGAGUCGCUAGUAAUCGCAGAUCAGCAACGCUGCGGUGAAUACGUUCCCGGGCCUU
rnacentral:rRNA from 1 species